rnacentral:rRNA from 1 species
UACGUAGGGUGCAAGCGUUGUCCGGAAUUAUUGGGCGUAAAGAGCUUGUAGGCGGUUUGUCGCGUCUGCUGUGAAAUUUCGGGGCUCAACCCCGAACUUGCAGUGGGUACGGGCAGACUAGAGUGUGGUAGGGGAGACUGGAAUUCCUGGUGUAGCGGUGAAAUGCGCAGAUAUCAGGAGGAACACCGGUGGCGAAGGCGCCGCUCUGGGCCGAAACUGACGCUGAGGAGCGAAAGCGUGGGGAGCGAACAGG